rnacentral:rRNA from 1 species
UACGAAGGGGGCUAGCGUUGUUCGGAAUCACUGGGCGUAAAGCGCACGCAGGCGGAUCGUUAAGUCAGGGGUGAAAUCCCGAGGCUCAACCUCGGAACUGCCUUUGAUACUGUCGAUCUGGAGUAUGGAAGAGGUGAGUGGAAUUCCGAGUGUAGAGGUGAAAUUCGUAGAUAUUCGGAGGAACACCAGUGGCGAAGGCGGCUCACUGGUCCAUUACUGACGCUGAGGUGCGAAAGCGUGGGGAGCAAACAGG